GGGGCUGUAGCUCAGUGGCAGAGCGCUCGCCUAGCAUAGCAUGCGUGAGGCACUGGGUUCGAUCCUCAGCAUCACA
rnacentral:tRNA from 1 species